GGUCCAAAAUGGCGCUGCGCUGGGGUAUCGUGUCGGCUGGCUUAAUUGCCAGCGACUUUACCACCGUGCUGAGCUCACUGCCUCCUUCGGAGCACCAGGUGCACCUCCCUCGGAAGCCACUGGGUCUGAGGGAGGAGUGGAGCCGUGGGUCUAAGGGAGAGUCUCUAGUCCGAGGAACGGGGGAGCCCCCAGUGUGAGGGAGUAGAGUCCCUAGGUCUGAGACGGAAGGUGACUCUGCGAAGAGGAGACCCUUUUUCUGCUCCCCUCCCCGACCAUAAGAGACUUGUUUUUAGUUCACUCCUCCUCUUCACCU
rnacentral:lncRNA from 1 species